rnacentral:rRNA from 1 species
GACGUAGGGGGCAAGCGUUGUCCGGAAUCAUUGGGCGUAAAGAGCGUGUAGGCGGCUCGAUAAGUCUGCUGUGAAAGUCCAGGGCUCAACCCUGGAAGGCCGGUGGAAACUGUCGGGCUAGAGUCCGGAAGAGGCGAGUGGAAUUCCUGGUGUAGCGGUGAAAUGCGCAGAUAUCAGGAGGAACACCAAUGGCGAAGGCAGCUCGCUGGGACGUGACUGACGCUGAGACGCGAAAGCGUGGGGAGCAAACAGG